AUGAACGCUGGCGGCGUGCCUAAUACAUGCAAGUCGAGCGAACAGACGAGGAGCUUGCUCCUCUGACGUUAGCGGCGGACGGGUGAGUAACACGUGGAUAACCUACCUAUAAGACUGGGAUAACUUCGGGAAACCGGAGCUAAUACCGGAUAAUAUAUUGAACCGCAUGGUUCAAUAGUGAAAGACGGUUUUGCUGUCACUUAUAGAUGGAUCCGCGCCGCAUUAGCUAGUUGGUAUGGUAACGGCUUACCAAGGCAACGAUGCGUAGCCGACCUGAGAGGGUGAUCGGCCACACUGGAACUGAGACACGGUCCAGACUCCUACGGGAGGCCGCAGUAGGGAAUCUUCCGCAAUGGGCGAAAGCCUGACGGAGCAACGCCGCGUGAGUGAUGAAGGUCUUCGGAUCGUAAAACUCUGUUAUUAGGGAAGAACAAAUGUGUAAGUAACUAUGCACGUCUUGACGGUACCUAAUCAGAAAGCCACGGCUAACUACGUG
rnacentral:rRNA from 1 species